rnacentral:rRNA from 1 species
GUAGGUGGCAAGCGUUGUCCGGAAUUAUUGGGCGUAAAGCGCGCGCAGGCGGUUCUUUAAGUCUGAUGUGAAAGCCCACGGCUCAACCGUGGAGGGUCAUUGGAAACUGGAGAACUUGAGUACAGAAGAGGAAAGCGGAAUUCCACGUGUAGCGGUGAAAUGCGUAGAGAUGUGGAGGAACACCAGUGGCGAAGGCGGCUUUCUGGUCUGUAACUGACGCUGAGGCGCGAAAGCGUGGGGAGCAAACAGGGAUUAGAUACCCUGGUAGUCCACGCCGUAAACGAUGAGUGCUAAGUGUUAGGGGGGUUUCCGCCCCCUUAGUGCUGCAGCUAACGUAUUAAGCACUCCGCCUGGGGAGUACGGCCGCAAGGCUG